rnacentral:tRNA from 1 species
GCGGAUGUGGCGGAAUUGGUAGACGCGCUAGACUUAGGAUCUAGUUCUUUCGGGAGUGGGGGUUCGAGUCCCUUCAUCCGCACGA